CUACACUCUGUCUUCCGCCGCACCACCCACCGCCUCCCUCGCUCCUCCAGACCCCUACUCUAUUAUCGUCUCCUUAUUGAGCCCUUCUCCUCCUCCUCCUCCUGACCCGAACUCCCUCUCCGCCUUCGCGGUGGCGACGGCGCCUCCAAAUCAUCGUCGAACUCUCACUCCCUCCUCAUCAAGGCCACUUUCAUCGCCUCCGCCGCCGUCCAAUCCGACGAAUCCUUCGAGGCCACCCCCCAGCGCGUUCUCGAGGAGCGCCUGGCCUCUCACCCCAACCAAGUCCGUUCCCUCCACGCCCGCCCUCGUGGAGCUCAAUAUCAAGGCUGGGAGGCCCGUCGAGGCUAUCGGCAUCGUCGGCCGGCUCAUCGCCCUCGAUGCGGCGAGAAGGAGCUCCCCUUACCGAAGUCCCACUUUCAGAGUUAAAAGACGCGACACGGGGACCGGGAAGCGAGCGUUUGGACGAGGAGGGAGAGCUCGACGGCAUCUUAAAGAGGGUUGAGGAAGCAAUUGGGCUGUGCAAGAAGGCCAGGAGGAAGGAGGUUAUGAAGAGAAAACUGUGCAAUUAGCUAUGUCAAGGAGGAGCCGAUGGAUUUCCGACCCUAUCUCUGUUAGGGCAUCAUGUAAACUUUGUCGAGGAAGAAGGAUGAGGCGUAGUCGUUCCGAAGGGCCAACCUUAUGCGCAGUAUUGCGACGAUAACAUGAUUGUGAAGGCUUAUGGGCAGAUGGAUGAAUACAGAAGAAAGACGGCUCUGAAACAUUAGAAAGGUUUGUCGGUAAGAUAUUUAUAUCAAGGAAUUUAAAUUACAAAGUAAAAUGUCAGCCUUUGACAAAUGCAAAGCAUUCUAUCUAGUCCUACUAAUUCCUGUGUCGAUCAGCAAGCUUCAUUUUGAGAAUUCACCGGUAAAAUUGUGAGUUUUGUUGCAUUGGAUUGUCUGAAGAUGGGUCUAAAGUUGCUGCUUUAAUGCACAUGGUGUUGAAAGAUCUGCUCCAGUCUUUUCUUUUAGGGGGGCAACUCAUGGAAAUGUCUCAAGGGAGAGCUGAUGCUUGUAGCUCACUCUUCAAUCUUUAAUUUCCACACUGCUCAUGAACUUUGCCGGAAAUUUCUGUGAGCAGUAUGCGGUCGCAAUUUUACCCAAAGGUGGCAAUCUUUGCACUUGAUGCUUAAAUUUUGAGUUUCUUGAAUUUGCGUAGAUUGAUCGUACUAAUCGUAUCGGAUUACCAUUGCAUUCGCCGACUCGGGAGCUGUUAAGACCCAACUGCUCUGGAAUAUCCUUGUGUUAUUAUUUCAAGAGACCUAAUUUUUCAUGUAUACUACAUGACAAUUAAUAAUCUUCAAAUCUCUGUACCACAAUUAAAUAAUACUUCACGUGAUAAAUUCCUUGGUAUCAUGCUUGUAAAUUGUAAUGCUGGAAGCCAGAUCUUGCACUUAAUUCAUGGUGUCUAUAGCAUAAAAUAGACAUGCAACAUAUCAUGUCAUAUUGUCAGCUAAGUCUGUGGCGAGAAAACGGGGAUACUUGAGCUUAAUGGCGACCAGGCAAGGUGUGUAUGAGGAUGCCUUUACUGAAGAAGGCAACGAGCAAUGACAUUAGCAGCAGCUUCAGCAGGUAUGAUUGCACAAUGUGAUGGCUGGCUGCAACUGUUACACAAGUCACCCCCGAAAGGUUCAUAACCAGCAACAUUAAGGGGAAGGAUCCAAUGUUGCACAAGUCAUCCCUGAAAGGUACAUAACGAGCUACAGAUGGAUGGAUGGAUGGAUGUCUUUAUUUAUUUGCAUCACCCAUGUAAUAAUGAUGCUGAUGUCCUCUUCUUCAAUGUUGCCUCUGCUAUCCUUCUCAUAAGAGUAAUGUAUGGCACUGAGGAAAGAUAAGACAACAUACCAUCAUGCAAAAGGUUAUGAUCUGAGCCGUUCAUUUUUCAGAUACAAAAAACCUCUGCCGUGGUGCUGUGGAAAGCCUUCAAUGUUUGUAUUGCACGCAACUGCGUCUUCUUCUUCUUCUUCUUCUUCUUCUUCUUCCCCAUUGUUGUCUUGUUGCUGCCUUUAAGUAGGUGUCCCCAUGUGGGCGCGUGUUCUGGGA